rnacentral:rRNA from 1 species
UACGUAGGGUGCAAGCGUUAAUCGGAAUUACUGGGCGUAAAGCGCACGUAGGCGGUUUUUUAAGUCAGAUGUGAAAGCCCCGGGCUCAACCUGGGAAUUGCGUUGGAGACUGCAAGGCUAGAAUCUGGCAGAGGGGGGUAGAAUUCCACGUGUAGCAGUGAAAUGCGUAGAGAUGUGGAGGAACACCGAUGGCGAAGGCAGCCCCCUGGGUCAAGAUUGACGCUCAUGCACGAAAGCGUGGGGAGCAAACAGG